rnacentral:rRNA from 1 species
UGAGUUUGAUCAUGGCUCAGAUUGAACGCUGGCGGCAGGCCUAACACAUGCAAGUCGAGCGGAAACGGCAGCAUUGAAGCUUCGGUGGAUUUGCUGGACGUCGAGCGGCGGACGGGUGAGUAACGGCUGGGAACCUGCCCUGACGAGGGGGAUAACCGUUGGAAACGACGGCUAAUACCGCAUAAUGUCUUAGUUCAUUACGAGCUGGGACCAAAGGUGGCCUCUACAUGUAAGCUAUCGCGUUGGGAUGGGCCCAGUUAGGAUUAGCUAGUUGGUAAGGUAAUGGCUUACCAAGGCGACGAUCCUUAGCUGGUUUGAGAGGAUGAUCAGCCACACUGGGACUGAGACACGGCCCAGACUCCUACGGGAGGCAGCAGUGGGGAAUAUUGCACAAUGGGGGAGACCCUGAUGCAGCCAUGCCGCGUGUGUGAAGAAGGCCUUCGGGUUGUAAAGCACUUUCAGCAGUGAGGAAGGUGGUGUACUUAAUAAGUGCAUGGCUUGACGUUAGCUGCAGAAGAAGCACCGGCUAACUCCGUGCCAGCAGCCGCGGUAAUACGGAGGGUGCGAGCGUUAAUCGGAAUUACUGGGCGUAAAGCGCAUGCAGGCGGUUUGUUAAGUCAGAUGUGAAAGCCCGGGGCUCAACCUCGGAACCGCAUUUGAAACUGGCAGGCUAGAGUCUUGUAGAGGGGGGUAGAAUUUCAGGUGUAGCGGUGAAAUGCGUAGAGAUCUGAAGGAAUACCAGUGGCGAAGGCGGCCCCCUGGACAAAGACUGACGCUCAGAUGCGAAAGCGUGGGUAGCAAACAGGAUUAGAUACCCUGGUAGUCCACGCCGUAAACGCUGUCUACUUGGAGGUUGAGGUUUAGACUUUGGCUUUCGGCGCUAACGCAUUAAGUAGACCGCCUGGGGAGUACGGCCGCAAGGUUAAAACUCAAAUGAAUUGACGGGCGCCCGCACAAGCGGUGGAGCAUGUGGUUUAAUUCGAUGCAACGCGAAGAACCUUACCUACUCUUGACAUCCAGCGAAGCCUUUAGAGAUAGAGGCGUGCCUUCGGGAGCGCUGAGACAGGUGCUGCAUGGCUGUCGUCAGCUCGUGUUGUGAAAUGUUGGGUUAAGUCCCGCAACGAGCGCAACCCUUAUCCUUGUUUGCCAGCACGUAAUGGUGGGAACUCCAGGGAGACUGCCGGUGAUAAACCGGAGGAAGGUGGGGACGACGUCAAGUCAUCAUGGCCCUUACGAGUAGGGCUACACACGUGCUACAAUGGCAGAUACAGAGGGCAGCGAAGCUGCGAAGUGGAGCGAAUCCCUUAAAGUCUGUCGUAGUCCGGAUUGGAGUCUGCAACUCGACUCCAUGAAGUCGGAAUCGCUAGUAAUCGUGGAUCAGAAUGCCACGGUGAAUACGUUCCCGGGCCUUGUACACACCGCCCGUCACACCAUGGGAGUGGGCUGCACCAGAAGUAGAUAGC